rnacentral:rRNA from 1 species
CCACCGAAAGGUGGUCUAAUACUUCAUAAUAUCCAUCUCGUAUGGAUUAAAGCUUUAUGCGCUUUGGGAGGGGCCUGCGUAACAUUAGCUUGUUGGUGAGGUAAAGCUCACCAAGGCUUCGAUGUUUAACUGGUUUGAGAGGAUGACCAGUCACACUGGGACUGAGAUACGGCCCAGACUCCUACGGGAGGCAGCAGUAAGGAAUCUUCCACAAUGGGGCAACCCUGAUGGAGCAAUACCGCGUGCAGGAUGAAGCGUUUCGGCGUGUAAACUGCUUUAUCACCGAAGAUUAUGACUGUAGGUGAAGAAUAAGGACCGGCUAACUACGUG